CGGACGGGUGAGUAACGCGUGGGUAACCUGCCCUGUACACACGGAUAACAUACCGAAAGGUAUGCUAAUACGGGAUAACAUAAGAAAUUCGCAUGUUUUCUUAUCAAAGCUCCGGCGGUACAGGAUGGACCCGCGUCUGAUUAGCUAGUUGGUGAGGUAACGGCUCACCAAGGCGACGAUCAGUAGCCGACCUGAGAGGGUGAUCGGCCACAUUGGAACUGAGACACGGUCCAA
rnacentral:rRNA from 1 species